CCCUUAGAUGUCCUGGGCCGCACGCGCGUUACACUGAUGCAUUCAACGAGCUUAUAACCUUGGCCGAGAGGCCUGGGCAAUCUUGUUAACGUGCAUCGUGAUAGGGAUAGAUUAUUGAAAUUAUUAAUCUUGAACGAGGAAUUCCUAGUAAACGCAGAUCAUCAGACUGCAUCGAUUACGUCCCUGCCCUUUGUACACACCGCCCGUCGCUCCUACCGAUUGAAUGCUCAGGUGAGCCAUUCGGACUUUCAUCAUGCUGGUUUCCAGUUUUGAUGAAGGAAAGUCUUGCGAACCUUAUCAUUUAGAGGAAGGAGAAGUCGUAACA
rnacentral:rRNA from 1 species